AAAGUCGUAACAAGGUUUCCGUAGGUGAACCUGCGGAAGGAUCAUUAAUGAAAACUUCAGGAGUUGCUGCUGGCCUCUCGAGGCACUCGUGCACGCUCCGUUUUUCAUCCACCCACACCUGUGCACAAUCCAUUUUGAGAGGAAGAAAGGGAUUUCUUCGGAGAGUCCUCUUUUCCUCCGAAAUUUAUCACACACUCUACGCAAUAGUCAGAACGAACUUGUUUUUUGUAAACAAACUUAACAACUUUCAACAACGGAUCUCUUGGCUCUC
rnacentral:misc_RNA from 1 species